AAGAUUCGGAUACGUGGAUUAUGUUAUGAAGCUGACGUUAUGUUAACCUUAUAUUUGUAUAAGAUGCGGUUCAUUUAUGUUCAGUUGUUAGCUCGAUCAUGUAUUCAUUUGUUGGAUUUUGUAAUCCUAUUCACGUAUUUGGUCUUUGUGUAAAUGAAAUUAAUGUUUCUCGAUUCAGUUAUGUUCACUCUUGUCGCUAUUCUAGAUAAAUCGACAAAGGGUGUUAUAAUU
rnacentral:lncRNA from 1 species